rnacentral:lncRNA from 1 species
AUUUUUCAAAAAUACUUAUGUAUUAGUUUUCUCAGGUUUAUAAAAAAAUGAUGCAUUUAAAAAGCAUUAGACCGACAUUUUGCACAAGUAUUGCCUAUACAUUUUUGUAAUCAGUAUCUCAAAAGCUUUUAAAUGAGGUGUCACAUGAUGAACUUUUCCAUACGAAGUUUAAAAUUUAAUUUAUUACCAUAAUUUUAUAUGUGGAUGAUUGCAUCCCGCGACAUAAAUGACUAUAUAUCGUACUCGUGUAGAAAUACUCACUUCUGUCAAACGUGAUAUAAAAUAAACUUAAAUAAUAUAUAAGACAUAAAUACAUUUCAUGCAUAUAAGACAUACCUUUUUCCAUAAAACUCUCGAAAGUAGAAUUGAUAUUUACUGCAUCAUCGUUGAUUUUUAUCGGACACACUGAAAAAUCGCAUGACUUGUUUUGAAUGCUCUCAGAACUUAAAAAUUUGAUCCAAGAUCAGUAGGUCUCAUAGUAUGAUCUAUCUAUCUGAUAAGAUGUACCUUGUCCAUAUUUAUUAUCAUAAUUACUAUUAAUAUUAUCACCCAAAUUACGUUGAUUUUUAAAAAAAUAAUCACUUACAUUGCGAAAUUUGAAUUUUUUACUUUUUAAGUUGUCGGUAGAAGCUUCUGAUUGCUUUCGUUUAUUUGACAUCUUAUAACUCUUCGUAAAUCACAAACUAUAUUAAUAUAAAAAAAGAAGAAUAAACUCAAAA